rnacentral:rRNA from 1 species
GUGGGGAAUUUUGGACAAUGGGGGCAACCCUGAUCCAGCCAUGCCGCGUGCGGGAAGAAGGCCUUCGGGUUGUAAACCGCUUUUGUCAGGGAAGAAAUCCUUUGGGUUAAUACCUCGGAGGGAUGACGGUACCUGAAGAAUAAGCACCGGCUAACUACGUGCCAGCAGCCGCGGUAAUACGUAGGGUGCGAGCGUUAAUCGGAAUUACUGGGCGUAAAGCGUGCGCAGGCGGUUUUGUAAGAUCGAUGUGAAAUCCCCGGGCUCAACCUGGGAACUGCAUUGGUGACUGCAAGGCUGGAGUGCGGCAGAGGGGGAUGGAAGUCCGCGUGUAGCAGUGAAAUGCGUAGAUAUGCGGAGGAACACCGAUGGCGAAGGCAAUCCCCUGGGCCUGCACUGACGCUCAUGCACGAAAGCGUGGGGAGCAAACAGGAUUAGAUACCCGAGUAGUCC